rnacentral:rRNA from 1 species
AUGAGGCUUAUCAUGUGGAAUUGCCGGGGGUUGGGGAACAGCCUGGCAAUUCGAGGACUCCUGGAACUCCGGGAGAAGGAAGACCCCGACGUAUUAUUUUUGUCUGAGACAAAGAUGUCAUGAAGUAACCUGGAAUGGUUGCGCUGGAAGAUGAGAAUGACAAACAUGAUGGUCAAAAACUGUGAGGGGCAGAGUGGAGGGCUGGUAAUUUUUUGGAAGAAUGAAGUUAACUUGAGAGUGUUACCGUUCAUGUCAAAAUAUCAUAUAGACACGGAGAUUACAGAACUUGAUGGGUUCACGUGGCGGUUUAUGGAUCUACACGGGGAGCCAAAACAUGAUCAGAAAGAGAAGAUGUGGAGUCUGUUGAGAACACUUAAACACCAAAAUAAUAAAUUGUGGCUUGUGUCCGGAGAUUUUAAUGAAGUUUUGCACGCAUGGGAGAAGCAAGGAGGGGUUCCGAGAAGCCAGGCAUGCUUGGACAGAUUCAAGACAACCCUUGAGGUGUGCGGAUUAUGAGAUCUAGGCUUUUGUGGUGAUGCUUUUACUUGGAGAAACAACAUGCACACGGCGGUAAAGUUCAUAAAAGAGAGACUAGAUAGAGCGGUUGCUACCCAAGAGUGGUGUCAUCGUUUUUUGACGUUUCGUGUGACAAAUGGCGACCCUUAUCACUCUGACCAUAGUCGGUACACAUUGACACAGAGGGUGCAGCAGCAGUACGACGAUAUCCAGCAAGAAAUCCUACACUUUGAAGCUAGCUGGUUGGAGGAAGAGGGCUGCAAGAAUAUAGUACAAAAUGCUUGGAAUUUGGAGACACAAAUUGAGCAAAGAGAGACAGCGGGUGCACUAAAAGGAGUUAUGUGGGAGCUUAUUGAUUGGAAUAAGAAUAUCCUAGGUGACUUGGAGAAGAGAAUGCAUAGGUUAAAGAAGCAAUUAGAGGCAGAAAGACGGAAGAACAUUAGUGAGGAGCAAGUGAGGAGGGAAGAGCUGCUAAGAUUCAAACUUGGCCGGUUGGAAGAGCAGAGGGAGACAUAUUGGAAGCAACAGGCGCAUAUUCAUUGGAUGAAAUGGGGAGAUAGAAAUACAAAAAAAUUCCAUGCUGCAGUGUCGGAGAGAAGGAUGAAUAAUAUAAUCAGGAGGCUAAAGAAGGAUGAUGGGAAUGUAGUAGAAAAGGUAGAGGAGAUGAAGAGAGUAGUCACUAACUAUUUUUAA